rnacentral:rRNA from 1 species
GACGAACGCUGGCGGCGUGCUUAACACAUGCAAGUCGUACGGUAAGGCCCUUUCGGGGGUACACGAGUGGCGCACGGGUGAGUAACACGUGAGUAACCUGCCCACAACUUUGGGAUAACGCUAGGAAACUGGUGCUAAUACUGGAUAUGUGCUCCUGCUGCAUGGUGGGGGUUGGAAAGCUCCGGCGGUUGUGGAUGGACUCGCGGUCUAUCAGCUUGUUGGUGGGGUAGUGGCCUACCAAGGCGGCGACGGGUAGCCGGCCUGAGAGGGUGACCGGCCACAUUGGGACUGAGAUACGGCCCAGACUCCUACGGGAGGCAGCAGUGGGGAAUAUUGCACAAUGGGCGCAAGCCUGAUGCAGCAACGCCGCGUGCGGGAUGACGGCCUUCGGGUUGGAAACCGCUUUCAGCAGGGACGAAGCUUUUUGUGACGGUACCUGCAGAAGAAGCACCGGCUAACUACGUG